UGCGCGGUGGUGUAACAAGCAACACACGGCUCUCAUAAGGCCGUAGAUGCGGGUGCGAAUCCCGCCUGCGCAA
rnacentral:tRNA from 1 species